rnacentral:rRNA from 1 species
AAUCUUCCACAAUGGGCGAAAGCCUGAUGGAGCAACGCCGCGUGAGUGAAGAAGGUUUUCGGAUCGUAAAACUCUGCUGUAAGGGAAGAAAAAGUACAGUAGUAACUGGCUGUACCUUGACGGUAGCUAAUUAGAAAGUCACGGCUAACUACGUGCCAGCAGCCGCGGUAAUACGUAGGGGGCAAGGCUUGUCCGGAAUGAUUGGGCGUAAAGCGCGCGGAGGCGGUCCUUUAAGGCUGAUGUGAUAGCCCACGGCUCAACCGUGGAGGGUCAUUGGAAACUGGGAGACUUGAGUGCAGAAGAGGAAAGUGGAAUUCCAAGUGUAGCGGUGAAAUGCGUAGAGAUUUGGAGGAACACCAGUGGCGAAGGCGACUUUCUGGUCUGAGACUGACGCUGAGGCGCGAAAGCGUGGGGAGCAAACA